CAGGGGGGCUGGAAUGGGCACU
rnacentral:miRNA from 1 species